AAGUGUGUGUCUGUGUUUCUCAGUGUGUGCUUGGGCACACAGAGAAGUGCUGUGUACGUUUCAUCAUUUGUUCUAGCGAGUCCCGGCCCCCUGAAGAGGUUAAGAAUCGUGCCUACACCUCGAACGAGCCCGUGCGCGGACCUCCAGGUCUCCGGUGAGAGCAAUGGAUUCCAUUUAGAGAUAGGCUAGCCUCCAUGUGUCAAGCUUCAGCCCCGGAGUUGUGUCCAUCAUCCUACGGGAGGAGGCUGAGAAGAAGAUGAGAGCUGAGGAAACGUGCUCCACCACAAAGGCAUUGUCACAAUUUGUUGCUGGAGAAAUUAAGUGUGUGCUGGGUGACUCCGCUGGAAGAGACUCUUGGACAUCUGCACUUGGUUUCCUCUGGACUUCACCCUUUGUUGAAUUUGCUCUGUACUCUUCAUCAUAAUAAAACGUAACUCUUGGCUCUAGCAGACACCUCUUGGCUGGAAGAAGAGUAGAAGAUGGCCUAUGGGGGAAUGGUGACAAAGCCAACAAAAAUCACUUCAGUGCUGAUGAACUGAGAGCUUGAGAGGAGAAGAUAUGGCAGCUGUACAGUUUCUAUUCCACGAAGAGUUUCAGACCAAGUGUUUGGUCAAUAAGAGACCACAUAAACAUGAUCCUUACCAGCUGGCGUCCCUCCCUGCCUGCCUCCUGCUUCAUUCCUUCCAUUGUUCAGCAAAAGUAUAUUGAGCAUCUUCUAUGUGCCAGUUCUGUGCGAGGCCCACGGAUCCAUUGUAAACAAAACCCCAUCUGUGAAGUUGAAGUUUGAAGGAAGAGGGUAGUUCCUCAGGUCAGAGGAUCCCUAGAGCACAUGUCACCACCCUGAGACCUUGCCAUGUUUUCCCAGCCUGGGGGGAACUGCAUGUGGAGGGAAGGCUCCAAGUCCCCAUAAGCUUCUCCCCCUGGAGUCUGGGCCCCAGGACAGUUUCAGAGUUGCAGAAUUAUUAUGAAGAUAAUAUGAAGGGGUGCCUGGGUGGCACAGCGGUUGAGCGUCUGCCUUCGGCUCAGGGCGUGAUCCCGGCGUUGUGGGAUUGAGCCCCACAUCAGGCUCCUCCCGAGCUGUGAGCCUGCUUCUUCCUA